GAUCAUACUGAGAGGGGAGAGGAAGCCUCUCCUACCCAUGAUAGGAGAGGAGGAGGAGAAGAACUAUACUGAGUACGAAACACCCAAGCAGGCGGAGGAGGGGAGAGCGU
rnacentral:ribozyme from 1 species